UAGGGAAUAUUGCGCAAUGGACGAAAGUCUGACGCAGCGACGCCGCGUGAGUGAUGAAGGCCUUAGGGUCGUAAAGCUCUGUUGAAUGGGAAGAAAAAAUGACGGUACCAUUCGAGGAAGGACCGGCUAACUUCGUGCCAGCAGCCGCGGUAAUACGAGGGGUCCUAGCGUUGUUCGGAAUCAUUGGGCGUAAAGGGUGUGUAGGUGGCUAAGUAAGUCAGGUGUGAAAGCCCCGGGCUCAACCCGGGAAGUGCAUCCAAAACUGACAAGCUAGAGUAUGGUAGAGGGUGGUGGAAUUUCCUGUGUAGCGGUGAAAUGCGUAGAUAUAGGAAGGAACACCAGUGGCGAAGGCGACCACCUGGACUGAUACUGACACUGAGGUGCGAAAGCGUGGGGAGCAAACAGGAUUAGAUACCCUAGUAGUCCCUGAGCGGGCUGGCAAGGCGCAU
rnacentral:rRNA from 1 species